GACGAACGCUGGCGGCGUGCUUAACACAUGCGAGUCGAACGCUGAAGCUCAGCUUUUGUUGGGUGGAUGAGUGGCGAACGGGUGAGUAACACGUGAGUAACCUGCCUCCUUCUUUGGGAUAACGCCCGGAAACGGGUGCUAAUACUGGAUAUUCACUGGUCUUCGCAUGGGGGUUGGUGGAAAGGGUUUUUCUGGUGGGGGAUGGGCUCGCGGCCUAUCAGCUUGUUGGUGGGGUGAUGGCCUACCAAGGCUUUGACGGGUAGCCGGCCUGAGAGGGUGACCGGUCACAUUGGGACUGAGAUACGGCCCAGACUCCUACGGGAGGCAGCAGUGGGGAAUAUUGCACAAUGGGCGCAAGCCUGAUGCAGCGACGCCGCGUGAGGGAUGGAGGCCUUCGGGCUGUGAACCUCUUUCGCUCAUGGUCAAGCCGCAACAAUGGUUGUGGUGAGGGUAGUGGGUAAAGAAGCGCCGGCUAACUACGUG
rnacentral:rRNA from 1 species